AUGAUAUGGAUGAAAUAGGUUAUCCCCAAAAGCGAUCUGGAAAGGAAGUCAGUACCUAGCACAAGGGAAAGAGAAAAGAGAUGAAUAAACUGCAGAAUGGGAAGAUGAAGAUACUAUAUCGUCUAAACAAUCAUAGGAAUGUCAUUAUGCUUGUACUGGAUACAAGAAUCAUUAGAAUGAAGUAGUCUAUUAAACAUGAUAUAAAUAUGCAUUAAUCUAUGAAAA